rnacentral:snoRNA from 1 species
CACUAGCACAUAUGUCAAAUUCCUAAUUAACGUUUAAUUUUUUAUAUCCAUCGUUUCUUAGAGCCGUAAUUGUGCUGAUAUCAACUCCAGGGAAGGACACACAGCAAGUAUUUGCUGGGUCCGUGUUACGCCCACGAUGCAUCCUCAGCUGUGGGCGUGCUUGGAUCUUCUUCCCAUAUAC